UAGCUACACAGCAUCGUGUACCGUGACUGCCUACAAGGCCUGAGGUGCCCCCUGCUGGUGCACGGCCGCAAAGCACACAGUGUGGGGUAAAUGAGGGGAGUCUUCCAGCGUUAUGACUAUCGCACCUCAUUAUACAAGGUUCACACUGGCAUUAUUAACAGGAUCCAUAAUGCAAUGCAUGUGAAGUGAACGCAAGGGAAGUUGAUGGGGUGUCUGUCAUUAACACACCCUGACUGUAGGGGCAUUGCGGAGCAUUUGUGCCUUGCGAAAAUGGGGACAACGAGUCCUGGUAAUGCAAUCCCCAUCUUUGUGGAAGACUUUCAAGGCAGUCUCUCAUCUCACUGCAGCUGUUCUCAAUUGAACAAAAAAAGCUGAACGAUACCAUCUGAGAGGAGAAAAACCAGGUCUCCAAAUGGGAUGAGAAAAAAAAAAUCUGCAUGGUUUAUAAGACAUCAGAGAAAGAGAAUCUGCGAAACAUGCGGCAGAGAUGUUAUCCGUAUACAGGCAAGGUAAAACUGGCAUUACAGAGAGCUCUGACCUAGAAGCUAUACCUGCUGGGUUCUACGCUGUAUGAACGCAUAAA